CAGUCGCCGCGGUAAUACGUAGGGCGCAAGCGUUAUCCGGAAUUAUUGGGCGUAAAGAGCUCGUAGGCGGUUUGUCGCGUCUGCCGUGAAAGUCCGGGGCUCAACCCCGGAUCUGCGGUGGGUACGGGCAGACUAGAGUGAUGUAGGGGAGACUGGAAUUCCUGGUGUAGCGGUGAAAUGCGCAGAUAUCAGGAGGAACACCGAUGGCGAAGGCAGGUCUCUGGGCAUUAACUGACGCUGAGGAGCGAAAGCAUGGGGAGCGAACAGGAUUAGAUACCCGCGUAGUCCCUGUCUCUUAUAC
rnacentral:rRNA from 1 species